GAUGAACGCUGGCGGCGCGCCUAACACAUGCAAGUCGAACGAUUAAAGCACCUUCGGGUGUGUAUAAAGUGGCGAACGGCUGAGUAACACGUGGGCAACCUGCCCCCCUCAUUGGGAUAGCCACGGGAAACCGUGGAUAAUACCGAAUACUUCGGGACUUCCGCAUGGAAGACUCGAGAAAGCUCCGGCGGAGAGGGAUGGGCCCGCGGCCUGUUAGCUUGUUGGUGGGGUAAUGGCCUACCAAGGCAAUGAUGGGUAGCUGGGUUGAGAGACCGACCAGCCAGAUUGGGACUGAGACACGGCCCAGACUCCUACGGGAGGCAGCAGUGGGGAAUCUUGCACAAUGGGCGAAAGCCUGAUGCAGCGACGCCGCGUGCGGGAUGAAGGCCUUCGGGUUGUAAACCGCUUUCAGCAGGGACGAGGCGAAAGUGACGGUACCUGCAGAAGAAGCCCCGGCUAACUACGUG
rnacentral:rRNA from 1 species